AUUCAAAUAGUUUAUGUAAAAUAUUGGUUUGUGGGGCCAGGGAAGUAAAAUUUUUACUUUGGAUA
rnacentral:tRNA from 1 species